CCUACUGGUGGCAGCAGUGAGGAAUAUUGGUCAAUGGGCGGGAGCCUGAACCAGCCAAGUCGCGUGAGGGAUGACGGCCCUAUGGGUUGUAAACCUCUUUUGCCGGGGAGCAAAGUGCCGCACGUGUGCGGUUUGGAGAGUACCCGGAGAAAAAGCAUCCGCUAACUCCGUGCCAGCAGCCGCGGUCAUACGGAGGAUGCGAGCGUUAUCCGGAUUUAUUGGGUUUAAAGGGUGCGUAGGCGGACGCUUAAGUCAGCGGUAAAAUUUUGGGGCUCAACCCCGUCGUGCCGUUGAAACUGGGGUUAUUGAGUGGGCGAGAAGUAUGCGGAAUGCGUGGUGUAGCGGUGAAAUGCAUAGAUAUCACGCAGAACCCCGAUUGCGAAGGCAGCAUACCGGCGCCCUACUGACGCUGAUGCACGAAAGCGUGGGUAUCGAACAGGAUUAGAUACCCUAGUAGUC
rnacentral:rRNA from 1 species